GGAGUUGUGGCUCAAUGGUAGAGUGCUUGCCUUGCAAGCAUGAGGCCCUGGGUUUUAUUCCCAGCACCA
rnacentral:tRNA from 1 species